ensembl:lncRNA
UGGGCUAUGUUGAUGCAUCAGGUCAGGCUUCCUGGAGGAGAGGGGCUUCAGGGAUGGAGGGUUGGGAGGGGGCUUUGGGCUGCAGCCCAUUUCUAGCAGAGGACCCUGGGAUGCUUUGCAUAAAACUAACAGGGAAAGAGGGCCUAGGACACUGGGACUGAGAUCUGGGAUGCCCAGAUUUUGUUGAUGGGAGAUAAGAGAAAGAGGGUUUCCAGGAUGAUCCAAGGUCAUUGGCUUGAGCGACUGAGUGGAUGCAGGUACCCUUUCGUGGGACGCUGUAGUGGUGUCUGUGGUUUGGGGAGCACAAACUCCAGAGAAGAAAACUCCAGCGCCCUCUUGGCUGGUGGAAAGGUGCAGACGGGAGGAAUGAAGGAACUGGAGGAGUCGUGAGUGAGAGACGGUGACCCAGAGUGAUCACUCGAGCCCCAGGGAUGGGGACAGUUCCUCCUGGAGAGGACAGGAGAGGUGGGAGCUUCUUUGGCCAAAACAGAGAGAGGGAGGAGCCUGGGUUUGAUAGGUGGGGUGGGGCCUGAGGCAGACUGGAAUAUGGUGAGGAGUCAAGAAAGAAGGGUGGCUUCAGGGAUAGAGGGAUGGAUGAAUGGAAGAUGGCUGAAUGGAUAGGUGGAUAAAUAGACAAAUGGAUGGAAGGAAGGCAGGCAGAUGGAGCACCCAGCUGGUUCCUGCCCCCUCCCACCUUUGCUCUUGCCUCUCCUUGCCCUCCUCUUCACCCACUCCUUCCUGUCUCUGGGCUCCUCGUCCUAUCCUCCAGGCCUCAGUUUAAAUACUCUCUCCUCCAGGAAGCCUUCCUUGAUGACCCUGUCCAACUUCAUCUACAUCACUUUGUUUAUUUCCUUGUCAGGAUCGUCCCUCGGACCUGACUGGGAAUAAGUCCAGACUCAGUAUUCACUGCAUGAAAGAGGGGACAGGCUUAGAGACAGAGAUUCCUAGGAUUGGCACAGGCUUAGAGAAAAAGAGAGAAGGAAGAUUCUAGAAGAGGCAGGACGGGGUGGUGCUGGUUGGGCUCAAGAGUGAGGUUUCCUCAUAGGUCAGGAGAUGAGGAGGAGAGGGGAGUGAAGGCAUAAGAAAGGUGUUUGUGUAGUUGGGAAGGAGUUCAGGAGGCCAGUGCGGACCUGCUUGGACACGGGAGGAGAAGGUUGCGGGGAAGCUGGUGGUAUUGCCAGCCGCUAGGAGGGAGGGAGCUUUGGCAGUCCUGCCGCAGCUGGGAGAAGGCAGCCGCCUCUUAUCUUUAGAGGUCUUAAGAGCACGUGCUGAAGCUAAGUCACUUCAGUUGUGUCUUACUGCGAUCCCACGGACUGUAGCUCGACAGGCUUCUCUGUCUGUGGGAUUCUCCAGGCAAGAAGAUUGGAGUGGGUUGCCAUGCCCUCCUCCAGGGGAUCUUCCCAACCCAGGGAUCGAAGCUGUGUCUAUUAUGUCUCCUGCAUUGGCAGGCGGUUCUUUUCAAUAGCGCCACCUGGGAAGCCCUGAAGUGAAGCUGUUUCUGCCGAUUAAGAGCAGGUGGUGGUCCUUAGUUUGAGGAUUCUUUGGCGAACCUGUUCGGAGGCCACUGAUCUUUCCCCCCACAGAAAUGCAUGCUUGACUCUACAUCCCAACCUUUGGUGGAGGAUUUCGGAGUGGGGGAGGGUGGAUCCAGUUACCAUAGCAACACUAAUACUAACAGCUCACUCGAUGCUGGGCACUGGUCUAGGGUCUUCACAAGACCUGACUCCGUUACACACGUGGAGACUUAGGAGGUAGGUGCAAUGGGCAACCCCCAUUGUACAGAAAGGUUGAGGGUGGGAGAAGAUGGGGGCAACUGGAUGAAAUGAUAAGAUGGCAUCACUGACUCAAUGGACAUGAGUUUGAGCAAGUUUCGGGAGAUAGCGAUGGAUGGGGAAACCUGGUGUGCUGCAGUCCACGGGGUCACAAAGAGCAACUGAACAACAGUUACAAGUUGUACAGAUGAGGAGACUGAGGCCCUGGGAGGUUAAGUGACUUGCCUGGAGUCACACAGCUGCUGAAGAGUAGAGGGGAUUCCCGCCCACCCCUCCCCCCAACUCUGCCUCCCAGACUGCCCAGUCUGGCCCCACAGCCCAGGCUUUUAGCCAUAAAGCCUCACUGCCUGCUUGUUACAGGAGCCAGGACCAAAGCCCACAAUCCAGAAGCUGCCCUUCCCCCUUCCUACUAUUGCCCUGGGAUCUGGCUCGGUCGGCAAGGGCGGGGAAGUCUCGGCUCAGCAGGAGGCCUCCCUCCCUGCUCUUUCUCUCUCUCCACUUCUUGGUGUCUUCAUUAACCUAACCUUGAGCUUCCUGCAGGCAACUGAAGUGUUGGUGAGUUUGUGGGAUGUGUUUGUGUGUUUGUGAUGGAGCCGGGUGGGUGACUGAGUGUGAGUCAGCGAGGCCUGCCCGAAGGGGUCAGGACACCGGAAGGCAGAUCUGGCUGGGCGCAGGGGCUCCUCCACCCGGCUCAGCCUUAGUUUCCCUGUCAGCAAGAAGGGCCUGAUGCCAGCCUCGAGGAGGUUUCAUAGAUGAUGUCACAUGUCAGCAGGCGUGCUGUAAAUUUAUGGCAGUAACUGGCUUCAGUGGUGUUUCAACAUUCAGAAUAUUUCAGAGCCGAGAGCAGGCUAGAUGAGGUAGAACAGCUCCCAACCGGGCAGGGCAGCUCUCCUUCCCCAAAAAGGCUAAAGAUUUUUGCAGCAAAUACUAUUUCUGAUGCUAAUAUUGGGUGGGCCAAAAACGUUCGUUCGGGUUUCUCCAGAACAGCUUACGGAAAAACCUGAAGGAACUUCACCCAGUGUAUCUGUGACUGUUUGUACUAAGCGGGAUAUGGAAGGAUGGUCAUGGCAGGUCAACUUUUGCCUUCCCCCCACCCCUCAAUGAGAGUAAAGUGGUGGGUGGGGGAAAGGAGUUGGUUCUUAGAGAUUUUUGAAGUCGGAAUUGCAGAAAGGGGGUUGUAGACAGAAACCAUUUACCUGUUGGGAUGUCUAUGGAGUUUCAUUGAGAUAAGGUACCAUCCAGGGCCUGACACUCAGUAAGCCCGUUGUGGGUGUUGGUUGCUAUUAUUACUAACCAGCCUUUAGUCUGUACCUGCUUGGUGCAGACCGGUUGGGCUAUGUUGCAGAUCAACAGUUUCUCCACCUUGAGCACGAAUCCCUUGGGGAACCUGUUCAAGUGCAGGGUCUGUGGCAGCCCUCAGACUCUGCAUUUCCGGCCGGCUCCCAGGGGACACUGAGGCUGCCCUUGGUCUGGGGCCACACGUUGAGUAGCAAG